UACGGAUGGCGCGAGCGUUAAUCGGAAUUACUGGGCGUAAAGCGUACGUAGGCUGUUUUAUAAGUCUUCGGUUAAAUCCACAUGCUUAACAUGUGGGCUGCCGGAGAUACUGCAAAACUAGGGAGUGGGAGAGGUAGACGGUACUUGAUAGGAAGGGGUAAAAUCCUUUGAUCUAUUGAUGACCACCUGUGGCGAAGGCGGUCUACCAGAACACGUUCGACGGUGAGGGAUGAAAGCUGGGGGAGCAAACCGG
rnacentral:rRNA from 1 species